CCCUUAGAUGUUCUGGGCCGCACGCGCGCCACACUGACUGGUGCAACAAGUGUCGCUCCUUGGCCGAUAGGCCUGGGCAAUCUUUGAACGCCAGUCGUGAUGGGGAUAGAUUCUUGCAAUUUUUGAUCUUCAACGAGGAAUUCCUAGUAAACGCGAGUCAUCAACUCGCAUUGAUUACGUCCCUGCCCUUUGUACACACCGCCCGUCGCACCUACCGAUUGAAUGGUCCGGUGAACCCUCCGGAUCGGCUCGCGCCAACGCAAGUUGAGCAAAGGCCGAGAAGUUGGGUAAACCUUACCAUUUAGGGGAAGGUGAAGUCGUAACA
rnacentral:rRNA from 1 species